CACGUGGGGCGCGAGCGUUGUCCGGAAUUAUUGGGCGUAAAGAGCUCGUAGGCGGCCUGUUGCGUCCGCUGUGAAAGCCCGGGGCUUAACCCCGGGUCGGCAGUGGAUACGGGCAGGCUAGAGGUAGGUAGGGGAGAAUGGAAUUCCCGGUGUAGCGGUGAAAUGCGCAGAUAUCGGGAGGAACACCGGUGGCGAAGGCGGUUCUCUGGGCCUUACCUGACGCUGAGGAGCGAAAGCGUGGGGAGCGAACAGG
rnacentral:rRNA from 1 species